rnacentral:rRNA from 1 species
GAUGAACGCUGGCGGCGUGCCUAAUACAUGCAAGUCGAGCGAACGGACGAGAAGCUUGCUUCUCUGAUGUUAGCGGCGGACGGGUGAGUAACACGUGGAUAACCUACCUAUAAGACUGGGAUAACUUCGGGAAACCGGAGCUAAUACCGGAUGAUAUUUUGAACCGCAUGGUUCAAAAGUGAAAGACGGUCUUGCUGUCACUUAUAGAUGGAUCCGCGCUGCAUUAGCUAGUUGGUAAGGUAACGGCUUACCAAGGCAACGAUGCAUAGCCGACCUGAGAGGUUGAUCGGCCACACUGGAACUGAGACACGGUCCAGACUCCUACGGGAGGCAGCAGUAGGGAAUCUUCCGCAAUGGGCGAAAGCCUGACGGAGCAACGCCGCGUGAGUGAUGAAGGUCUUCGGAUCGUAAAACUCUGUUAUUAGGGAAGAACAUAUGUGUAAGUAACUGUGCACAUCUUGACGGUACCUAAUCAGAAAGCCACGGCUAACUACGU